rnacentral:rRNA from 1 species
GUCAAACUGGUGACUGCGUGGUGUUGCGGGCUCGGUCCAUUAGUCAUCCCACAAGGGUGAUUAGCGUGUUAACCGGCCCGCCCGUCCCCUCCUUCUGGAUUCCCGUUCCUGCUAUUGAGUUAGUGGGGACGUCACAGGGAGCUGUAUCAUUGCCUUCACGGGCCAGUGGUACAGUUUCUGGGGCCCAGAUCGUUUACCGUGAAAAAAUUAGAGUGUUCAAAGCAGGCAGAUACAAUUUUCUGCCACCGAAUACAUUAGCAUGGGAUAAUGGAAUAGGACCCUGUCCUCCUAUUUUCAGUUGGUUAGAGGAUCAGGGUAAUGAUUAAUAGGGAUAGUUGGGGGCAUUAAUAUUUAAUUGUCAGAGGUGAAAUUCUUGGAUUUAUGAAAGAUUAACUUCUGCGAAAGCAUCUGCCAAGGAUGUUUUCAUUAAUCAAGAACGAAA